ACAAAGGCCCUUUUCAGGGCCCACAAAGCAUCAGAAAGGAGCUGU
rfam:Mus musculus chromosome 6, GRC primary reference assembly.